UACGGAGGGGGCUAGCGUUGUUCGGAAAUACUGGGCGUAAAGCGCACGUAGGCGGCUCAGCAAGUCAGAGGUGAAAUCCCAGGGCUCAACCCUGGAACUGCCUUUGAAACUGCUAGGCUAGAAUCAUGGAGAGGUCAGUGGAAUUCCGAGUGUAGAGGUGAAAUUCGUAGAUAUUCGGAAGAACACCAGUGGCGAAGGCGACUGACUGGACAUGUAUUGACGCUGAGGUGCGAAAGCGUGGGGAGCAAACAGG
rnacentral:rRNA from 2 species